GAGGCAGCGACAGAGAGAGCUGGCCAGACUGUGAGGGAUGGAGCGAAUUUAGCUUGUGCCUUGUGUGGCUCACUCGUGCAGCUCCCUCACAGUCUGCAUGGCUCUCCGUGUCUCUUCCUC
rfam:Physcomitrella patens subsp. patens PHYPAscaffold_224 genomic scaffold, whole genome shotgun sequence.